UGGAAAGAUAUGAUCUUAGUGGCGGACGGGUGAGUAAUGUAUGAGCAACCUACCUUUAAGAGGGGGACAACAGUUGGAAACGACUGCUAAUACCGCAUAAUACGAAUUUGUCGCAUGACAGAUUUGUCAAAGGAGCAAUCCGCUUAAAGAUGGGCUCAUAUCUGAUUAGGUAGUUGGAGAGGUAACGGCUCACCAAGCCUACGAUCAGUAGCCGGACUGAGAGGUUGAACGGCCACAUUGGAACUGAGAGACGGUCCAGACUCC
rnacentral:rRNA from 1 species